rnacentral:rRNA from 1 species
CAUAUUGUGAGCUCGAUGAGUAGGGCGGGACACGUGGUAUCCUGUCUGAAUAUGGGGGGACCAUCCUCCAAGGCUAAAUACUCCUGACUGACCGAUAGUGAACCAGUACCGUGAGGGAAAGGCGAAAAGAACCCCGGCGAGGGGAGUGAAAAAGAACCUGAAACCGUGUACGUACAAGCAGUGGGAGCACGCUUAGGCGUGUGACUGCGUACCUUUUGUAUAAUGGGUCAGCGACUUAUAUUCUGUAGCAAGGUUAACCGAAUAGGGGAGCCGAAGGGAAACCGAGUCUUAACUGGGCGUUAAGUUGCAGGGUAUAGACCCGAAACCCGGUGAUCUAGCCAUGGGCAGGUUGAAGGUUGGGUAACACUAACUGGAGGACCGAACCGACUAAUGUUGAAAAAUUAGCGGAUGACUUGUGGCUGGGGGUGAAAGGCCAAUCAAACCGGGAGAUAGCUGGUUCUCCCCGAAAGCUAUUUAGGUAGCGCCUCGUGAAUUCAUCUCCGGGGGUAGAGCACUGUUUCGGCAAGGGGGUCAUCCCGACUUACCAACCCGAUGCAAACUGCGAAUACCGGAGAAUGUUAUCACGGGAGACACACGGCGGGUGCUAACGUCCGUCGUGAAGAGGGAAACAACC